UCAGACGAUGCGUCAUGCAUAUCAAUAAGCGGAGGAAAAGAAACUAACAAGGAUUCCCCUAGUGACGGCGAGUGAAGCGGGAAGAGCUCAAAUUUGAAAUCUUAAAGGGUUUCCCUUUACGAAUUGUAGUUUAAAGAAGUGUUUUCUGUUGAGGUUUUGGUAAAAGUUCUUUGGAAUAGGACAUCAUAGAGGGUGAGAAUCCCGUAUUUGACCUUUACUUUCAACUUUGUGGAUACACUUUCAAAGAGUCGGAUUGUUUGGGAAUGCAGUCCAAAAUGGGUGGUAAAUUUCAUCUAAAGCUAAAUAUUGGCGAUGUGACCGAUAGCGAACAAGUACCGUGAGGGAAAGAUGAAAAGAACUUUGAAAAGAGAGUUAAACAGUACGUGAAAUUGUCAAAAGGGAAGCGUUUGACACCAGUGUUGUUUUUCUGAAAAUCAAUUAAAGAACUGUUUAUGCUAAGCUGUUUAGACUUUAUCAGCUAUCUGUUUAGUUUUGAGCUUUUCUUUAAUGCACUUUUCAGUUAACAAGUCAACAUCAAUUUCUUUUGCUGUAAAAAAGCUUGAGGAAGGUGGCUUGAGAUUCGUCUUAAGUGUUUAUAGCCUCUUGCCUAUGCAGUCGGAGAGAUUGAGGUCUGCAGCGUAGAUCCUUCGGGGCUAAAUGCAUUUGUGCUAAGUUAUAGCAUUUUAUAGACAACUUGUUGACUAUGAUUUGUCUUGUAGCUUACUCGCUUAUGUUAUUUUACCUACGCUUAGGAUGUUGAGCGCAUGUCUCUCUCU
rnacentral:rRNA from 1 species